rnacentral:rRNA from 1 species
GAUGAACGCUGGCGGCGUGCCUAAUACAUGCAAGUCGAGCGAACGGACGAGAAGCUUGCUUCUCUGAUGUUAGCGGCGGACGGGUGAGUAACACGUGGAUAACCUACCUAUAAGACUGGGAUAACUUCGGGAAACCGGAGCUAAUACCGGAUGAUAUUUUGAACCGCAUGGUUCAAAAGUGAAAGACGGUCUUGCUGUCACUUAUAGAUGGAUCCGCGCUGCAUUAGCUAGUUGGUAAGGUAACGGCUUACCAAGGCAACGAUGCAUAGCCGACCUGAGAGGGUGAUCGGCCACACUGGAACUUGGACACGGUCCAGACUCCUACGGGAGGCAGCAGUAGGGAAUCUUCCGCAAUGGGCGAAAGCCUGACGGAGCAACGCCGCGUGAGUGAUGAAGGUCUUCGGAUCGUAAAACUCUGUUAUUAGGGAAGAACAUAUGUGUAAGUAACUGUGCACAUCUUGACGGUACCUAAUCAGAAAGCCACGGCUAACUACGUG